rnacentral:rRNA from 1 species
UACGUAGGGUGCGAGCGUUGUCCGGAAUUAUUGGGCGUAAAGGGCUCGUAGGCGGUCUGUCGCGUCGGCUGUGAAAACCCGAGGCUCAACCUCGGGCCUGCAGUCGAUACGGGCAGACUAGAGUGCUGUAGGGGAGACUGGAAUUCCUGGUGUAGCGGUGAAAUGCGCAGAUAUCAGGAGGAACACCGGUGGCGAAGGCGGGUCUCUGGGAAGUAACUGACGCUGAGAAGCGAAAGCAUGGGUAGCAAACAGG